GUCGCAUUCGACUUCUGGUGAGGUCAGCAGGCUUUCAUCCUGCGAAGAGGGGUUCGAAUCCCCUAUGCGAUACCA
rnacentral:tRNA from 1 species